CCUACGGGCGGCAGCAGUGGGGAAUAUUGGACAAUGGGGGGAACCCUGAUCCAGCGACGCCGCGUGAGUGAAGAAGUAUUUCGGUAUGUAAAGCUCUAUCAGCAGGGAAGAAAGAAAUGACGGUACCUGACUAAGAAGCCCCGGCUAACUACGUGCCAGCAGCCGCGGUAAUACGUAGGGGGCAAGCGUUAUCCGGAUUUACUGGGUGUAAAGGGAGCGUAGACGGCGAUGCAAGUCUGAAGUGAAAGGCGGGGGCCCAACCCCCGGACUGCUUUGGAAACUGUAUGGCUAGAGUGCUGGAGAGGUAAGUGGAAUUCCUAGUGUAGCGGUGAAAUGCGUAGAUAUUAGGAGGAACACCAGUGGCGAAGGCGGCUUACUGGACAGUAACUGACGUUGAGGCUCGAAAGCGUGGGGAGCAAACAGGAUUAGAUACCCGAGUAGUC
rnacentral:rRNA from 1 species